GACGAACGCUGGCGGCGUGCCUAAUACAUGCAAGUCGAGCGAAGUUUUUCUGGUGCUUGCACUAGAAAAACUUAGCGGCGAACGGGUGAGUAACACGUAAAGAACCUGCCUCAUAGACUGGGACAACUAUUGGAAACGAUAGCUAAUACCGGAUAACAGCAUUAACUGCAUGGUUGAUGUUUAAAAGUUGGUUUUGCUAACACUAUGAGAUGGCUUUGCGGUGCAUUAGCUAGUUGGUGGGGUAAAGGCCUACCAAGGCGACGAUGCAUAGCCGACCUGAGAGGGUGAUCGGCCACACUGGGACUGAGACACGGCCCAGACUCCUACGGGAGGCAGCAGUAGGGAAUCUUCCGCAAUGGGCGAAAGCCUGACGGAGCAACGCCGCGUGAGUGAAGAAGGAUUUCGGUUCGUAAAGCUCUGUUGUUAGGGAAGAAUGAGUGUGUAGUAACUAUACACAGUAGAGACGGUACCUAACCAGAAAGCCACGGCUAACUACGUG
rnacentral:rRNA from 1 species